GGUGACGUGGCGGUGAUCCGAGACAGCGAGGAGAAGAUAGGGAAGGUGCUUGACAUCUACGAACGGAGGCUGUCGGAGACCAAGUACCUCGCCGGGGAAAAUUUCACCCUGGCGGAUCUCAGCCACCUUCCGGGGAUGAGGUACCUGACGAACGAGGCUGGGAUGGGUCACUUGGUGGCGGAGCGGAAGAAGGUGAAUGCUUGGUGGGUGGAUAUCUCCGGCCGGCCUGCUUGGAAGAAGCUGAUUUCCAUGGCCGCUGCAGCCGCCGCCGCCGCCGAUGUUUGAGAGUUCGGCAAAUUAUGAUUGUUUAUUGGUUUCUUGUGCGUGUCUGUUGUGCAAAAAUAAGUACAAGUCACCUUCCGGGGAUGAGGUACCUGACGAACGAGGCUGGGAUGGGUCACUUGGUGGCGGAGCGGAAGAAGGUGAAUGCUUGGUGGGUGGAUAUCUCCGGCCGGCCUGCUUGGAAGAAGCUGAUUUCCAUGGCCGCUGCAGCCGCCGCCGCCGCCGAUGUUUGAGAGUUCGGCAAAUUAGGAUUGUUUAUGGGUUUCUUGUGCGUGUAUGUCGAGCAACAAUAAGUCCAGCUUCCAAGUUUGUUUGGGUUCAAAUAAGUGGGCCAACUUGUUUGAUCAUGGUACUUUGCAGCAAAUAGCUUUUAACCAAAGUCCCCCUUUUCGUCCAGCUGCUUCAUCUUUUGUCAUUAGGUGUCAUUAUGAUUAUCAAUCAUGCAUCAUCCAUAUUAAUCUACGUAUAUUCUGUGACAAUAUCUUAUCAUUAAGUUCAUACUCCCACUUGUAUUUAAUUAAUAAUAAUCACUAUUUUAUCUUUAUUUAGAUUUCAGACUUAUCCUGCCCCCUUAUCUUUAAUUAUAAAUAAAUAAAAUGUAUACAAUAUACUAGAUAAUUACCGGCCUGAUGGUCGGAAAGUAUUUUACCAUGACC
rnacentral:lncRNA from 1 species